rnacentral:rRNA from 1 species
GAUGAACGCUGGCGGCGUGCCUAAUACAUGCAAGUCGAGCGAACGGACGAGAAGCUUGCUUCUCUGAUGUUAGCGGCGGACGGGUGAGUAACACGUGGAUAACCUACCUAUAAGACUGGGAUAACUUCGGGAAACCGUAGCUAAUACCGGAUAAUAUUUUGAACCGCAUGGUUCAAAAGUGAAAGACGGUCUUGCUGUCACUUAUAGAUGGAUCCGCGCUGCAUUAGCUAGUUGGUAAGGUAACGGCUUACCAAGGCAACGAUGCAUAGCCGACCUGAGAGGGUGAUCGGCCACACUGGAACUGAGACACGGUCCAGACUCCUACGGGAGGCAGCAGUAGGGAAUCUUCCGCAAUGGGCGAAGGCCUGACGGAGCAACGCCGCGUGAGUGAUGAAGGUCUUCGGAUCGUAAAACUCUGUUAUUAGGGAAGAACAUAUGCGUAAGUAACUGUGCACAUCUUGACGGUACCUAAUCAGAAAGCCACGGCUAACUACGUG